GGGUUGUGAGGUUAAGCGACUAAGCGUACACGGUGGAUGCCCUGGCAGUCAGAGGCGAUGAAGGACGUGCUAAUCUGCGAUAAGCGUCGGUAAGGUGAUAUGAACCGUUAUAACCGGCGAUUUCCGAAUGGGGAAACCCAGUGUGAUUCGUCACACUAUCAUUAACUGAAUCCAUAGGUUAAUGAGGCGAACCGGGGGAACUGAAACAUCUAAGUACCCCGAGGAAAAGAAAUCAACCGAGAUUCCCCCAGUAGCGGCGAGCGAACGGGGAGCAGCCCAGAGCCUGAAUUAGUGUGUGUGUUAGUGGAAGCGUCUGGAAAGGCGCGCGAUACAGGGUGACAGCCCCGUACACAAAAAUGCACAUACUGUGAGCUCGAUGAGUAGGGCGGGACACGUGGUAUCCUGUCUGAAUAUGGGGGGACCAUCCUCCAAGGCUAAAUACUCCUGACUGACCGAUAGUGAACCAGUACCGUGAGGGAAAGGCGAAAAGAACCCCGGCGAGGGGAGUGAAAAAGAACCUGAAACCGUGUACGUACAAGCAGUGGGAGCCUCUUUAUGGGGUGACUGCGUACCUUUUGUAUAAUGGGUCAGCGACUUAUAUUCUGUAGCAAGGUUAACCGAAUAGGGGAGCCGAAGGGAAACCGAGUCUUAACUGGGCGUUAAGUUGCAGGGUAUAGACCCGAAACCCGGUGAUCUAGCCAUGGGCAGGUUGAAGGUUGGGUAACACUAACUGGAGGACCGAACCGACUAAUGUUGAAAAAUUAGCGGAUGACUUGUGGCUGGGGGUGAAAGGCCAAUCAAACCGGGAGAUAGCUGGUUCUCCCCGAAAGCUAUUUAGGUAGCGCCUCGUGAAUUCAUCUCCGGGGGUAGAGCACUGUUUCGGCAAGGGGGUCAUCCCGACUUACCAACCCGAUGCAAACUGCGAAUACCGGAGAAUGUUAUCACGGGAGACACACGGCGGGUGCUAACGUCCGUCGUGAAGAGGGAAACAACCCAGACCGCCAGCUAAGGUCCCAAAGUCAUGGUUAAGUGGGAAACGAUGUGGGAAGGCCCAGACAGCCAGGAUGUUGGCUUAGAAGCAGCCAUCAUUUAAAGAAAGCGUAAUAGCUCACUGGUCGAGUCGGCCUGCGCGGAAGAUGUAACGGGGCUAAACCAUGCACCGAAGCUGCGGCAGCGACACUAUGUGUUGUUGGGUAGGGGAGCGUUCUGUAAGCCUGUGAAGGUGUACUGUGAGGUAUGCUGGAGGUAUCAGAAGUGCGAAUGCUGACAUAAGUAACGAUAAAGCGGGUGAAAAGCCCGCUCGCCGGAAGACCAAGGGUUCCUGUCCAACGUUAAUCGGGGCAGGGUGAGUCGACCCCUAAGGCGAGGCCGAAAGGCGUAGUCGAUGGGAAACAGGUUAAUAUUCCUGUACUUGGUGUUACUGCGAAGGGGGGACGGAGAAGGCUAUGUUGGCCGGGCGACGGUUGUCCCGGUUUAAGCGUGUAGGCUGGUUUUCCAGGCAAAUCCGGAAAAUCAAGGCUGAGGCGUGAUGACGAGGCACUACGGUGCUGAAGCAACAAAUGCCCUGCUUCCAGGAAAAGCCUCUAAGCAUCAGGUAACAUCAAAUCGUACCCCAAACCGACACAGGUGGUCAGGUAGAGAAUACCAAGGCGCUUGAGAGAACUCGGGUGAAGGAACUAGGCAAAAUGGUGCCGUAACUUCGGGAGAAGGCACGCUGAUAUGUAGGUGAAGCGACUUGCUCGUGGAGCUGAAAUCAGUCGAAGAUACCAGCUGGCUGCAACUGUUUAUUAAAAACACAGCACUGUGCAAACACGAAAGUGGACGUAUACGGUGUGACGCCUGCCCGGUGCCGGAAGGUUAAUUGAUGGGGUUAGCGGUAACGCGAAGCUCUUGAUCGAAGCCCCGGUAAACGGCGGCCGUAACUAUAACGGUCCUAAGGUAGCGAAAUUCCUUGUCGGGUAAGUUCCGACCUGCACGAAUGGCGUAAUGAUGGCCAGGCUGUCUCCACCCGAGACUCAGUGAAAUUGAACUCGCUGUGAAGAUGCAGUGUACCCGCGGCAAGACGGAAAGACCCCGUGAACCUUUACUAUAGCUUGACACUGAACAUUGAGCCUUGAUGUGUAGGAUAGGUGGGAGGCUUUGAAGUGUGGACGCCAGUCUGCAUGGAGCCGGCCUUGAAAUACCACCCUUUAAUGUUUGAUGUUCUAACGUUGGCCCCUGACCGGGGUUGCGGACAGUGUCUGGUGGGUAGUUUGACUGGGGCGGUCUCCUCCUAAAGAGUAACGGAGGAGCACGAAGGUUGGCUAAUCCUGGUCGGACAUCAGGAGGUUAGUGCAAUGGCAUAAGCCAGCUUGACUGCGAGCGUGACGGCGCGAGCAGGUGCGAAAGCAGGUCAUAGUGAUCCGGUGGUUCUGAAUGGAAGGGCCAUCGCUCAACGGAUAAAAGGUACUCCGGGGAUAACAGGCUGAUACCGCCCAAGAGUUCAUAUCGACGGCGGUGUUUGGCACCUCGAUGUCGGCUCAUCACAUCCUGGGGCUGAAGUAGGUCCCAAGGGUAUGGCUGUUCGCCAUUUAAAGUGGUACGCGAGCUGGGUUUAGAACGUCGUGAGACAGUUCGGUCCCUAUCUGCCGUGGGCGCUGGAGAACUGAGGGGGGCUGCUCCUAGUACGAGAGGACCGGAGUGGACGCAUCACUGGUGUUCGGGUUGUCAUGCCAAUGGCACUGCCCGGUAGCUAAAUGCGGAAGAGAUAAGUGCUGAAAGCAUCUAAGCACGAAACUUGCCCCGAGAUGAGUUCUCCCUGACUCCUUGAGAGUCCUGAAGGAACGUUGAAGACGACGACGUUGAUAGGCCGGGUGUGUAAGCGCAGCGAUGCGUUGAGCUAACCGGUACUAAUGAACCGUGAGGCUUAACCUUACAACGCCGAAG
rnacentral:rRNA from 1 species